rnacentral:rRNA from 2 species
UACGAAGGGGGCUAGCGUUGCUCGGAAUCACUGGGCGUAAAGGGCGCGUAGGCGGCCGAUCAAGUCAGAGGUGAAAGCCCAAGGCUCAACCUUGGAAUUGCCUUUGAUACUGUUCGGCUCGAGACCGGAAGAGGUUAGUGGAACUGCGAGUGUAGAGGUGAAAUUCGUAGAUAUUCGCAAGAACACCAGUGGCGAAGGCGGCUAACUGGUCCGGUUCUGACGCUGAGGCGCGAAAGCGUGGGGAGCAAACAGG